rnacentral:misc_RNA from 1 species
GGUCCACCGCGGUAGCACGCGCCGAAACCGCGUGAGCGCCGACCGCGGAGAGUUUGGCCGUCGCGCGUGUCCGUGUCGCCCCCGAACGGCUGUUCAGUACCGUUCAAAACGCGUUUGCGAGUGCAUCGCAAUGUCUUAACACACCCAUCGUCACGUGCGUUCACCCCGUCAUCAUCGGUAACCGUUAACGUUAUCGUCUGGUAUCGCAGUUUUUCCCACGAUGUCGUUUCGUCCGUAUCCGUUAUCGACACAUCGGCCAGAGCUUCGUCUCGGACGCCAGUCUUGAACAGACUCGAACACCGGUUUCCGGGAAACGAUGUUUUAUGGUUAUUUUUAUGUCACAAAGGAAAUAUUCAGCUGUAAAAGGGAAAUGGUUUAAAGGGAAAAUGGCGGACACUGCUAAUAUUACGGAUUCAAGUUAUGGUGAUACGCCGUAUCCAGAUGACGGUACUUCAUGGUUGGACUCUCCUACGUCUAAUCAAGUGUUGGGCAUCGAGGAGACCGAAGAGACGUCCACUAUGCCGUCGGACAUGAUACCCACGGGAACUGGAGGUCCUAUUGUGAUACGAACCGAAGAGGCAUUUAUCGUAAUAUGUGUGAUGAUACUGUGGGUAGCGGCCAUCGCGUUGUUUUUCAACCGGUGGGGAAAAAUUCGCAUGCUUGAACCAUACCAGCCUAAAUUUCACGAGGAAGAGCACCGUCCAAGCUGUCCCAUGGUCGAGUUGGCUAGCGCUUCAGGAAUCGGUCACAGCAUAACCGGAGGGCACCGUACGUCGUUCUCCAAGUUCAAUGUCAACAGCUGCUUGGAACCUUCGGCCAUAUUCCAAACAAUUCAGCCCACGCACCGGGCGCUGCAGAUUCGACCACGACAGAACUCGAUGUUCGCCGGUGGAGGGGCGUUGCCGGGGGCUUGUGGCCCGCCGCUGUCCGGCCACUGCACGCUAAUGGCCGGUCGUCCGCGCAAGGCCAAGUCAGCGGCUGACAUCAAGUCGCUGGUGCAGCAUGAGUGCGGCCCCGCGCGCACCAGUCGAUCCAUGUUACCGAUGACGGUGGGUGCGGCCGCGGUGGCCGCGGUAGCCGAUCGUCGGGUGUCGUGUGCCGCGUCGUCUUUCGGCGGCUAUGGCGGCGGUGGUGGCUACGGCGGCAGUGGUUACGGUUCGCUGAUGGUAUCCGCGGUCAAGGAGCGUAGGUCGUGCAGCCUGUUCCCGUCACCGGGCUCCGCGUCCGCCGCCGAGAAACGGUUGUUCUCGUCGUCAUCGUCCAAUACGCCACCCGCGCCCUGCCUGUGCGACAUGCCGUUCGGUGGCCAGUCCGGGUCGUCAUCGUGGGCGUCGGCCAAACGCGAUUUCCUCCUGACACCGUCCACAUCGCUCGGCGGCGGCCCCGGCUUCAGCGGUGGCGCGGCCGGUCGGCGCACGUCCUGUGGGAUGGACCAUCUGUGUCCCACGUCUAUCACGCUCAAGGACCGUCGGCCUUCAUUCAACAACGUUAUCGCGCAGGUGACGGCCGAGCGGCGUCCUUCGUCCAGCAUGCUAAGGAUAAGCAACGUCUAGCGCACGGCCGCGGAACACCAAACGCACGUGCAACGGUACAGCGACGAUCCCGCGAGUCGCUUGUCUUGUCCGAGCGCGCGUGUACAUAGCAAACCAUUUUACUAUCGAUUUCACGUUCACACGUUUAUUUGUUUUGAUUUUUUGUUUCUCUCGUCAAACAACGCUCUCAAACGCCGUCCGUCCGUCGUACGUACGUGUUCGGUCGCGUCUCGCCGAUCGGAAACGUUUCCGGCCUGGUCGGCGAUUCGUACCGGAACGCGUAUGCGCGUUCUCCGCAGGAAACCGGAUAAACAACCUCCUGGUGGUAAUCUAGUACGGUUUACCGCGUUCACCGUACGGGUUUUGUUUGAACAAACGUUGAGUUCCAGCCACGACGUACACCCAAACGUGUCCGAACAAGGAGCCGAGACGAGCCAUGCGCCGAGAACGUUUGCGCGUCUCGUGUGUAUUUCAACGUUCUAGGUCGUCCGCUGACAUGGUGGUGGGGUGCACGUGAUUACACUCGAAACCCGAACGUUCGAGUCGUCCAUCUGCUUUUCGCGUGCGCACCAGUCAUCACCGCGACCGAUCCGCGAUGCGUCCCAAUACCGUCCCGAUCCAUGUCCAGGUCUAGUAGCGGGCAUAGACUCUGACACAGGCCGAGACUCUUUUAACGUCAGACGCCGGGGCGUGGGAUAUGAACCGAUGGCCGUUUACUGCGUGAUGGUGAUACAGCCGUCUUUAAAUCUCAACACUCGAGCACGAGUUAGUUUAUAUUUUAAGGAUGAAAAGCGGUUACCGGACCACAGUAAACUUAAGCUCUAUUACGAGGAUAAAAGAGAAAAAAUAAUUUUCUAUAAUAUUUUAAAUAAUUAUAUAUAAGAUUUUCUGUAUACAUAUAAAUUAGUAUUUUAUGGUGAUUCAUUUAUAAUAUAUUUAGAAGGAUAGUUUAAGACAUCGGUUGUAACUACUAACAAAUAAAUUGAUAGUUUUCAAUUAUCGGUUCCAUGAUGCCGACAAUAUUUAUCAUAUUGUACUAAUUAGAUAUAUAAU